AUGGAAUGGAUGAUUCUUUCCCCAACUUCUAGACUCUGAUUAUAUUAAGCUAUUUUUUUCCUUAGGAGAAUCCAAGGCAAGAGUCUGAUCCAU